rnacentral:lncRNA from 1 species
CCCUCAGACUUCUCUUUUCCCAGGUGGGCCAGUUCUUGGCCUCGCGGGCUUACGUCAUGGGAGGAAUGCGGUGACGCGACGCUGCUCUUGUGACGUCGACGACGAAGGCCGGGCUCCCGGUUCGAUGAUGUCAUCGGGUCCUUUUUCCUCCCCCUGCUGCCCUGCGAUGAAGUUCUCAAGCCACAGCAGGGACAAUGCCAAAUCCUUGACCUUCUGAGCCAUGAGGGAACUUCCACAAGAGCUUUGAAAAGGUGAGAUCUCCAGCAUUUGUUGUUAUGUGGAGUGGGGGGGUGGGUGGAGGGAGGAAGGUGCAGAAGAACAUAUGAAACAUGCUACCUUGAACUGAAGUUCUGACACAUGCUACCACAGGGAUGAACCUUGAAACAUUAUGCCAAAUGCAAGAAGCUGGACCUAAAAGGCACAUUCAUAGAGACAAAAAGUAGAAUGAUGGUUACCAGGAACUGGAGGGUGGAGUGGAGGAAUGGAGAAUUAUUGUUUAAUUAGGUAGAGUUUCAGUUUGGAGAGAUGAAAAAUUUCUGGAGAUGGCUAGUGGUGAUGGUUGCAUGACAAUAUGGAUGUCUUAAUGCCACUGAACUGUGCACUUAAAAAUGGUUAGGAUGUGGAGUUCCUUGUUGCCACAGUAGGAUAAGGAUCCAGCAUUGGCACGGUUGUGGCUUGAGUUCAGUCUCUGACCCAGGAACUUCCACAUGCCAUGGGCUUGCCCCCUCCCCUCAAAAAAAGGCUAAAAUGUUAUAUUUUAUCACAAUUAAAAAACAGCUUUUUUUUUUUUUCCCCUGCACCCACAGUACAUGGAAGUUCCUGGGCCAGGGAAUGAACCCACACCUCAGCAAUGACGCAAGCUGCUGGAGAGACAAUGGCAGAUCCUUAACCAUAAUGGCCACACAGCAGGAACUCUAAAAAACAACUUUUUAUUGCUACCUUUAAUGUAAAAGCAGAUGAGGGGGGAGGGAUAAGGACUUGUAUUCUUAUUUGUUUGUGUAUGGGCACAGAAAUUCUGGAAAGAUACUCAGGAAAUCAGGAGCAGUGGGUUUCCUGUGGGGAAAAGGAGGGGAACUAAGACUUGGGAAAUACUGCAGUGUAAACUUUAUGCUUUUUGUUUGUGCAGCACAUGAAUGCAUCCACUAUUCAAAAAUAAAAUUAGUUAAGAAAUAUGGAGAAUGGCUUUAUUUAGGAUUAGUAAGAUUUGAGUU